GCACAGAGUUUCCAGGCCCCCAUGGCUGAAGAGGCUCCUGGGUCCAGUCUGGAGAUUGGCCGGUGGCCCUCGGCCCGCUUCCCACCACCCCCGGCUCGCGGCCCCUGCGAGAUGGGAUUCUGUGGAAGGACAAAGCCGCUCGCGAGCAUGUGGGAGCCGUCAGACGCCCUGGUUUAUUUCCACCCUGCACUUGCGAAGCGGUCCUGACCUCCCGGCCGACGGGUGUUAUCUCAGGACAGCCGGUGUGCUUACAUCUGUGGAAACCCUGCUCCUGUCGCAAGCAAGUACUGCCAGGGUGCUGCGCGUCCUGUUGACCGAGAGCUUCGUUCACACCUGUGCCGCACACGUCCAGCACUUGUAGUGUGUGAGACAGAUGUGGGGGCCGGGGUAGGCACCGGGGGUGGCACUGGGGCUGGCCAGCUGGAGCCGGCCCUGGAGAGAAGGCCGGGCAUGGGGUCAGCAGAGCGGGCCUGGCCUCCCAGUCACCGGGGCCAGAAGCCAGUGGCUGCUUGGGGAGAAGCCACGCACUGUAAGAACUCAGCGCUACCUGGGGGAUUCAUCCUUUUUCUUUAAAAUUUCAACCUUCUAGUUUAUUCAGACAACCACAACCAGAUUCUAGGAAGUACUCGCUUACAAAGCCUCCGUGUUUCCCAGGACACCCCUUCAGGAGCCACCAUCCCCGUCCCUCCUGAACCCAGGCUGCCUGGAGGAGGGUGGACAGGUGUGUGUCUCUCCAGGUGAGAGCUGCGUUGGGGA
rnacentral:lncRNA from 1 species